rnacentral:tRNA from 1 species
UACAUACUAGCUCAGUUGGUUGAGCGCUAGCCUGGAGAGCUAGAGGUCGCGGGUUCGACUCCCGCGUAUGCAC